AACAUACCUAAAACGUUGCUUCGGCGGGAACAGACGGCCCCGUAAAACGGGCCGCCCCCGCCAGAGGACCCCUAACUCUGUUGCUAUAUGUAUCUUCUGAGUAAACAAGCAAAUAAAUUAAAACUUUCAACAACGGAUCUCUUGGCUCUGGCAUCGAUGAAGAACGCAGCGAAAUGCGAUAAGUAAUGUGAAUUGCAGAAUUCAGUGAAUCAUCGAAUCUUUGAACGCACAUUGCGCCCGCCAGUAUUCUGGCGGGCAUGCCUGUUCGAGCGUCAUUACAACCCUCAGGCCCCCGGGCCUGGCGUUGGGGAUCGGCGAGGCGCCCCCUGUGGGCACGCGCCGUCCCCCAAAUACAGUGGCGGUCCCGCCGCAGCUUCCAUUGCGUAGUAGCUAACACCUCGCAACUGGAGAGCGGCGCGGCCAUGCCGUAAAACACCCAACUUCUGAA
rnacentral:misc_RNA from 1 species